CGCUGGCGGCGUGCUUAACACAUGCAAGUCGAACGAAGCACUGAUCUUGAUCUUCGGGUGACGAGAUCUUGACUUAGUGGCGGACGGGUGAGUAACGCGUGGGGAACCUGCCCCAUACCGGGGGACAACAGCUGGAAACGGCUGCUAAUACCGCAUAAGCGCACGGAGCUGCAUGGCUCAGUGUGAAAAACUCCGGUGGUAUGGGAUGGCCCCCGCGUCUGAUUAGGCAGUUGGCGGGGUAACGGCCCACCAAACCGACGAUCAGUAGCCGGCCUGAGAGGGUGGACGGCCACAUUGGGACUGAGACACGGCCCAAACUCCUACGGGAGGCAGCAGUGGGGAAUAUUGCACAAUGGGGGAAACCCUGAUGCAGCGACGCCGCGUGGGUGAAGAAGUAUUUCGGUAUGUAAAGCCCUAUCAGCAGGGAAGAAGAUGACGGUACCUGCACAAGAAGCCCCGGCUAACUACGUGCCAGCAGCCGC
rnacentral:rRNA from 1 species